CGGAAGCAGCCUGGGGACCUUGUGCAGUGUUAAACUGAGCCAAGGCCCUUGCCAAUGCAGCUCCAGCUCGAGGCUCCCCGCCGGUAGGAGUCUAGCGUCCCCGAGCCGUGUAGAAGGCACUCUCAGACGCCCAUUGCCGCUCCCAGGGGCCGCCAGGAGAACUCUGGCCUUGGCUCGCCGGUGCGGAGGGCCUGGUAGCAUCCUCCUUCAUCAGACCCCCACUCUCUGGAAGCUCCUAGCCCCUGGGCAGACUGAGGGGAGGGCGGCGGCAGCAGAGAGCUGGACACUGCACAGGCCAGGCAGGGCCUACCAGCUCUCCACUAUUCCCAGGAGAGGCUGCUGCCAGCUGUCUGAUUUUUAAUUUCAAAAUCACGCUUUGUCCUGCAAAUGUUGUAUAUUGUUUAUUUUAGGUCAAAUAACCCCAUAAAUACGUAAGUAAAUAAAUUGGUCACUUGCAGCGAUCGUGGGGUGGGGGAGGGCACAGCGCCCUGCAGCGCAGGCGACGGAAGGUUGCAGAGGCAGUGGGGCGCCGACCACGUGGAAGCUGAGCCACCACCUCCCACUCCCCGCGCCGCCCCCCAGAAGGACGCACUGCUCUGAUUGGCCCGGAAGGGUUCAGGAGCUGCCCACCCUUUGGGCUCGGGGCCAAAGGCCGCACCUUCCCCUAGCGGCCCCGGGCGACCAGCGCGCUCCGGCCUUGCCGCCGCCACCUCGCGGAGAAGCCAGCCAUGGGCGCCGCCGGCUCCUCCUCGCUGGCGCGCUUUGUCCUCCUCGCGCAAUCCCGGCCCGGGUGGCUCGGGGUCGCCGCGCUGGGCCUGACCGCGGCGGCGCUGGGGGCUGUCGCCUGGCGCCGCGCAUGGCCCACGCGGCGCCGGCGGCUGCUGCAGCAGGUGGGCACCGUGGCGCAGCUCUGGAUCUACCCUGUGAAAUCCUGCAAGGGGGUGCCGGUGAGCGAGGCGGAGUGCACGGCCAUGGGGCUGCGCAGCGGCAACCUGCGGGACAGGUUUUGGCUUGUGAUCAACCAGGAGGGAAACAUGGUUACUGCUCGCCAGGAACCUCGCCUGGUCCUGAUUUCCCUGACCUGCGAUGGUGACACCCUGACUCUCAGUGCAGCCUACACAAAGGACCUACUACUGCCUAUCAAAACACCCACCACAAAUGCAGUGCACAAGUGCAGAGUGCACAGCCUGGAGAUAGAGGGCAGGGACUGUGGCGAGGCCGCCGCCCAGUGGAUAACCAGCUUCCUGAAGUCACAGCCCUACCGCCUGGUGCACUUCGAGCCUCACAUGCGACCGAGACGUCCUCAUCAAAUAGCAGACUUGUUCCGACCCAAGGACCAGAUUGCUUACUCAGACACCAGCCCAUUCUUGAUCCUUUCUGAGGCGUCGCUGGCGGAUCUCAACUCCAGGCUAGAGAAGAAAGUUAAAGCAACCAACUUCAGGCCCAAUAUUGUAAUUUCAGGAUGCGAUGUCUAUGCAGAGGUAACGCUAUGCCCCUUUGGAUCUUUCCUUGGAUUUGACUUCUUUUUUAAGGAGAGAAGAGAGAGGCUUGGGGAGGUGAGGUGGCCUGCCCUAGGCUAUACCACAGCAAGGAGGGGCUGGGUUUUGAACCCCAAUUGUACAAGGCCAGAGGAACCCUGAGAAUUCUAGGGCAUAUGUGUGGGGCUGGGACAGCUGGAUUCUAAUCCACCUGCUUCAGCAAGUGACCGUACAAGCCUGGACAGGUCACCAAACUCGCCGAGGCAUCUGCUUCUUGCAGUUGUAAAACACGGGCAGUUUCAAUGACUCCCUCGCCUGAUGGGAUCUGUGAGAAUCAAGGUCGAUGACAAUUUGUGGAAAAGUUCUAGGACAUUAAGUACCACAGAGAGUGUGAUUUGUGCACCGAGGGUCAUGCUGAAGCCAUUUCCACUCCAAAAUUCUGUGACAGUAAGAUUCGGAUGAGAGGAGAAGAGGAGAUGGCCCAGAGUAGAACUUCAGAUCUCGGAGAUUUCUUUCAAUUGAGUCUUACUCUAAAAACCCGUAUCUCUCUCUCUAUCUCUGAGUGUUUCCUAGUUGAGAACAUUCUGUAUGUGAAGCUGGGCGGUAACACAAUGGUGGCUGAGCCGGCCUUGUUUUUAGUAACUCACCCAUCAUCGAGUGGGUUGCUGCCCCUGUGUGGCAUGCGCUGUGAAUAGACACAUGAGAACAAGGGUUGAAGAAAUGCACUUGCUUCUCCUAAGGAGCUCAGUGUGGUCAGAUAGUGAACAAGCAGUCACAGCACAGUGAGAUAUGGCCAGGAGGGUGGCAAGCAGCCAGACGUGGGGACGUGACUAACACCUGCAUUGUGGGGUGAGCUGAAGCAUGGGGCACCCAGGGCUCUGGUCUCAGACCCUUUCUCAUUUGUCUGCACUCACUUUUCUGAUCUGUUCUUUCUCUCCUUUUUUUUUUUUUUUAAUUUAAUCAUCUGUUUUUAAGACCUUCUCUGCCCUGAGGACCCCUAACUAUAUCCUUCUGCCAGAGCUUUCCCCUGCUUCUCCAUAUCUCCAUGUGGAUGUCUAAUCCAACGUCAGGAUGUCUGAAAUUGAGGUUCAGGUUUCCACCCCAAAGCCUGCUGUGCUGUCUCGCCUAUCUCAGCACACAACAGCUCUGACUUCCGCUGGCUCAGGCCCCAAACUGCUAACCACCCUUUGUUCUUCUCUUUCUCUCACAUCCUAAGUUCCUACAGUUGACAGAUCUUGGUGGCUGGGCCUUCCCCCCCACUCCCCUCUCUGCCCGGAUGCAGUCACCACUGGUGCUGCAGCAGCCUGGCUUCACUGGCCUCCUUGCCCCACCCUUGACCCAGCCCUGCACCAUCCAUGGGCUGUUCUCAGCACAUCCAUCAAGGUAACCCUGUUGAUGUAAGUAACAUCAUGUGAUUUGUCUGCUCAAAGCCCUCUCAUGGUUCUCCACCUUUCUUCAAGUAAAAGAUGGGAUCCUUAUGGAUUGCCUGGAAGGCCCAACAUGACCUGCACCCCGCCAGCUCCCAGCCCCUUCUCCUCUCACUCCCCUCUGCUCUCUCACUCUGCCCCAGCCAUACUGGCCUUUUUUCUGGGCCCCGGCUGGGUCCUCUGCCUGGCAUAUCUUCCCUCACAGGCCUCAUGGCUCACUCCAGUGCCUCUUUCAGUCCCCUGCUGCGGGCUUCACUGACCCCGCUCAUCCAGCCCCCCCACAGCACACACCCCACCUAACAAGCCGUGUGUACUCAGGUAUCAGUGUAUUGUCUGUUUCCCCUAUGCAAGCUCCUUGAGGACAGGGGCUGCUGUAUCUCCAGCCCCUAGGAGAGCCCCUGGUACAUAGAAGGUGUGCACUAAUUAUCUGUUAAAUGAAUGACCUGGACAAAGUAUUGUCCAGGAGAAAGGGGGGCACUGAGGGAGGGGUGCAUACACAGGGCUAUGAAGGUAUGAGAGAAUGGCCAUCUUGCAGUGCUGGGGCUCAGGAGAGGAGGGGAGCUGAGAGCACAGGUACUUGGUGUCAGGUUUUGGGGAGUCUGGGAAGAAUUUUUGGCCAGGGAGUGACUGAAUCCGAUUUGCAUGAUACACAUUUGCCUCUGCCAGGAGCCUGGAGAAGGAUUAGAGCAGGUGGGGCCAGGGUGCAGCUGGGAGAGCAGGCUAGCAUGGAGGAAGGCCGAGGACCUGCAUGGAAGUUUCUGGAAAGCAGACCCACUCCUCAUCUCGGAAGCUACCUUCUCAGCAACUGUGGCUUUUCUCUGCCUCCCUUCAUCAUCGGCACUCCCCACACUCAUUUCUUACACCUCACUUCUCCCCGAAGCCACAGUAGAGACAACCACCCUACCUACCACAGUCAGUGACCGUUUCUCAGUCACCACCACCCCGCUCUGAGGACACAUGGAGACUACUUACUGAAACGUUUCUCCUUUAGCUGUACUGCCCUUGCUUCUCUGCUGUUUGUCCUCAUCCCUUACUUCCAAAAGUUCUGGCCUUGACCCUUUUCUCUCCCCUCCUUGGUGAUCACACUGUCUCCUGCAGCAUCGCCCUCUGUCACCUGACAUAGGUCCCUCAAAUGUCCACCCAGGACUCCCUCUGGAGUGCUGCACCACAGUUCCAACUCUUUGUUGGUUGACAGAGAAACUCAGACUUAUGUGCUCCCACCCCAGCCCCUACACCCUCACCCCACCUCCCUAAACUCAUUCUUUCUUUCUUUUUUGAAACAGAGUCUUGCUCUGUCACCUAGGCCAGAGUGCGCUGGCAUGAUCUCAGCUCACUGCAACCUCUGCCUCCCGGAUUCAAGCGAUUCUCCUGCCUCAGCCUCUUGAGUAGCUGGGAUUACAGGCAGAUGCCACCAUGCCCGGCUAGUUUUUGUAUUUUUAGUAUAGACGGGGUUUUGCCGUGUUGGCCAGGCUGGUCUUGAACUCCUAACCUCAGGUGAUCCACCCGCCUUGGCCUCCCAAAGUGCUGGGAUAACAGGCAUGAGCCACUGCGCCUGGCCCCCAAACUCCUUCUGUUGACUUCACAGUUUCUAUCCAGGGCAGCAUGUUUUUUACUUUCACCCAGGCUCAGAGCGUGACAGUCGGCCCUGGCUCCUCCCUCUGCUGUGUUCCUCCCAGCCCCAGCCAUGUUGGCUCCCCUUUCUAUUCUUAGCCACCAGCCAGAUCCGACGUUUGUUACUUUAAGUUUGGACCACUGAGUGCUCCCUCCUGAAUGUUGCCACAGCCAAGCCUCCUAGAGCUGAUCAGCGUGAUCUCUCCCGCUCUAAAAGUUUGUAACAAAUCAUCAGUGUUGCUGACUUGCUCAGAAGCCUUUAGUGGCUUUCCAUGUCACAAAGGUCCAAACUUCCCACUCAAUCAUUACAUUCCUCUGUAACCUUGCCACAGUCUGCUUUUCCAGCCUUUAUUACCAACUGUAUUAGUUUAUUUUCAUAGUGCUAUGAAGAAAUACCCGAGACUGGGUAAUUUAUAAAGAAAAAGAGGCUUAAUGGACUCACAGUUCCACAUGGCUGUGGAGGCCUCACAAUCAUGGCAGAAGGUGAAGGAGAAGCAAAGGAUUCUUGGGAUGAGCUUCUUAUUGGUGACGUGGAACUGAAAAGGGUGAUGGCUUGUUCCAGAUGCAUUUUAACCACAGUGGACCCAG